UCUUCUCAUUUCUGUAGUCCUCAUGAACACAAUGAGCUCAAGACUCAUCAUGGAAGGUCAAAUCUUGCCACAGGGUGGAGCUCCAGACUUAAAUCACAGUGUUUCAGUGAGAAAAGACACAUCUGAGUUUGUCAUUUCAUUCCAUCAUGCUGCUCUGUGCACUUGGAAUAUUUGCAGUACUUGCAGGAGACUCUCUUGGUGAUGUAAUAACAUCUCGUGAUUCUGAAAAAGAAGCUCAAGAUGGUAACAGUGUUUCUCUCUCCUGUAACUACAGUGGUUCUGUUCUCAAUCUACUGUGGUAUCGUCAGUAUCAGAGAUCCAAACCAGAACUCCUUCUCUCCAUCACUGAAUCUGGAGAUGCAGUUAAAGCAGAUCCAUCAGCCCACUGGUUUUCUCCUACAGUUGACAAACUCAAAAAGCUCUUGAAACUGGAAAUCAGCCCUGCUAAAGUAUCAGACUCUGCUGUGUAUUACUGCGCUCUGCAGCCCACAGUGACAGGAAACACAAAAACACAGUACAAAAACCUGGGAUGUAUUACACUUGUGUUAACUUUGAUUUUUAUUUUUUUUAUUUUUUUACUUCAGCAAAAAUGGUUAAAGUCAUCAUAGACUAAAAAUAUCUUUCCAAAGCAGUUAAUUCAAAAAGUUUGAAAAUAAAAUUUAUUUCACAAUUGUUCAAAUUCAAGGAAACAGAACAGAUCAGGAUUAGAUAUCUGUGAUCACUGACUAUAAUGCCAUUCUCUGAUGCUAAGCUGGCUUGCUUCUGUACAUUAUCCAAAGACUUGUGUGAUGAUUGUGGUGAUUGUAAUGAGCAUGAGGAGGACUACAGUACAUAGAGCACAUCAAAGAAACACAGAGACAUAUUACCAAUAUUACGGUGUCAAAAACAUGUGAGACCACUAGAGUGAAAAUGCCUCUAUUUCACAUUUUUGUUUAAUUUAAUGAGGUUUUUCAUUAGAAUACUUUUUCAAUGAUGUUAUCCAGCAUCAUUUGUGACUAAACUCAAAUCCAGCUGUUACUUAAUCUUUGAAGUUCUUCUUAUAUUUACAUUAGUCACUGAAGAUAUUCAUGAAAAGUUAUACAGUAAAUCUUUCA